UACGGGGGGGGCAAGCGUUGUUCGGAAUUACUGGGCGUAAAGGGUUUGUAGGUGGUCUGUUAAGUCAGACGUGAAAUCCCUCAGCUUAACUGGGGAACUGCGUCUGAGACUGAUGGACUUGAGGGCAGGAGAGGAACGCGGAAUUCCAGGUGUAGCGGUGAAAUGCGCAGAUAUCAGGAGGAACACCCGUAGCGAAGGCGGCACUCUGGGCCGAUACUGAUACUGAGGAGCGAAAGCGUGGGGAGCGAACAGG
rnacentral:rRNA from 1 species